UACGUAGGUGGCAAGCGUUGUCCGGAAUUACUGGGCGUAAAGCGCGCGCAGGCGGAUUGGUCAGUCCGGGGUGAAAUCCCGAGGCUCAACUUCGGAAUUGCCUUUGAAACGGGAUCGCUUGAGUCCGAGAGAGGAUGGCGGAAUUCCUAGUGUAGAGGUGAAAUUCGUAGAUAUUAGGAAGAACACCGGUGGCGAAGGCGGCCAUCUGGCUCGGUACUGACGCUCAGGCGCGAAAGCGUGGGGAGCAAACAGG
rnacentral:rRNA from 1 species